GUAACAUUUCUGUAACAAGACAUACAGCAGUUUCUCAGAGUUCCCAAACUCAAAGGAAUUGACGGAAGCCGCGGUUCCACGUAAGUCACAAGCGUUGUCCGGAAUUACUGGGUGUAAAGGGAGCGCAGGCGGGAAGACAAGUUGGAAGUGAAAUCCAUGGGCUCAACCCAUAAACUGCUUUCCUAACUGUUUUUCUUGAGUAGUGCACAGGUAGGCGGAAUUCCCGGUGUAGCGGUGGAAUGCCUAGAUAUCGGGAGGAACACCAUUGGCGAAGGCGGCCUACUGGACUGCAACUGACGCUGAGGCUCGAAAGUGUGGGUAGCAAACAGGAUUAGAUACCCUGGUAGUCCACUCCGUAAACCAUGAUUACUACGUGUUGGAGGAUUGACCCCUUCUGUGCCGCAGAUAACACAAUAAGUAAUCCACCUGGGGAGUACGACCGCCCGGUUGAGACUCACAGGAAUUGACGGACUC
rnacentral:rRNA from 1 species